UGAAAAAUUAAGGUGACAUUUCUCUUAAAUUUUUCUUGAAGAUGACAAAUUGAAACUGAGGUAUAAGUUUAUGUAACAUUUCGACAAUUAUCCCUUAGGAGUAAUGAUAAUGAAAUUAUUUAUAAGCAGAAUUUGCAGCACACACUAAUUUUGUAUGCAGUGAGGUACAAGUCGACUUAGAUAUGAGAGAGGCAGAGAUUAAAAUAAAUCGAGUAAAGAAAAAUAUAUUAAAAUUUUGAUAGCUGCUUGUGUGCUACAAUUUGUUAACUCUGUAAUUAAAUGUAAGAUGAAAGGAUUGCACCAAGAGGAUGUCAAAUAAGAGAAAUCAAAGAAGAUGGAGUGUGGUCCCCUUGGAGACUGACUAUUGUUCUAAUUAUAACGGUGGAGAGUGAUGAUGCAAACUGGAUUGGUUUUACUUUGGUUUAAGGCGAGCCAGCAAGCCAAUGGUCUUUGGAUUUUCAGUAUGAUUCCUCUGAAUUUUGACUUGUUUGGCCUGAAUGUAUAACAUAUCACUGACUUUGAAGCCAAUCUCAUUGAAUUGAAGCAUGCCAUACCAAGGUUGGCCUGAAGUGAUGAAAACUUGUUUGGCAUAGCAUGAGCCUUUCCUUUAUAAGCAGGCAUAUGCUAAUUCAGCUAACUAGGUUUAGGAUGGAUCAUCUGGCAGUUUGGAAAACACAGAUGCCAUCAUCUUGAAUCAUGAUGGUCCAUUUGUUCUGGGCUGUUGCAGGCGUCGUGUUGCAAACCUUAAAAAUAGCCAUAAGCAUGGCCAUUGGCAUGGGGUUGGCUUCAUCUUUACUUUCACUAGACUAGGGCUUGAAAUGGAGUUUGCUUCAUGCAAUUUGAGAUACUUGGUUUGUUUGUAUUGUAUAUUAGUAAAACUAACAUAAGCAAAUUAUUACCUAUAGUGAUUCGUGACACCACCAACCAACCCUUGCUCUUUUCGUAUAUAAUUCAGUUUGUAUACAUGUGAGUGAGUGAGAAGAAGAUGGUGAUAAAAGCGUGUAAAUUAGUUUCCCCAUUAAUUAAACUCAGAUUAGGAUAUGUUUUAUGUGAAAUGGAGCUAGUCUAAUUGUAAGGAUUGUGAGAGAGAUAUAUAUAUAUAUAUAUAUAUAAGACAAGAUAAACUCAUAAGCAAAUGGCAAAGGAUGGACAAAUCCGCCAAACCAGAAAACGCAAAAGCCUCGCCAAAUACAACAUA